rnacentral:rRNA from 1 species
UGAUGCAGCAUGUCGCGUGAGUGAAGAAGGCCCUUGGGUCGUAAAGCUCUUUUAUGGGGGAAGAUGAUGACGGUACCCCAAGAAUAAGCACCGGCUAACUAUGUGCCAGCAGCCGCGGUAAUACAUAGGGUGCGAGCGUUGUUCGGAAUUACUGGGCGUAAAGGGCGCGCAGGCGGAAUAGUAAGUCGGAGGUGAAAGCCCGGGGCUCAACCCCGGAGGGUCUUUCGAAACUGCUAAUCUAGAGAGGGUCAGGGGCCGGCAGAAUUCCUGGUGUAGAGGUGAAAUUCGUAGAUAUCAGGAGGAAUACCGGUGGCGAAGGCGGCCGGCUGGGGCCACUCUGACGCUGAGGCGCGAAAGCGUGGGGAGCAAACAGGAUUAGAUACCCUGGUAGUCCACGCCGUAAACGAUGAGCACUGGACGUCCGGAGGGUU